ACCUUGAAGGGGUUGUUUCAUCAUAGACAAUGGGGGCAUAUCGCUAGGAUAUGACCCAAUUGUCUUAUAGGUGUGGGUCCCACCGCUGGGACCCACACCGAUAUCAAGAACAGAGCCCCACAACGGGGGAGCACGCACUGCGCAU